AUUCGAAAAUAAUAAGUGUUAAAGUGAAGUUCUCCAGUGAAAGUAAAAAAGUUUGAUAGAGAGGUUUCUCUUGAAAUAGUGCAUAGUUGCUAUAUAUAAAGAUUACUCAACUGCAAUGAAAAAGUGUGCAGAAUCUGUGGGAAAGGCAAAACUGCGGAGCUAUAUUAUGGCACGUCGACUGAAAUAGUUGGUAGCGCCCUUUGAGCUUUUUGCUGUGUACAAGGAAAAGAUAAUCUGCUCGUCGUCAUCGUCGUGAGCACUUUUGAGGCAUUUUCACAUUGAGGAAAUGGUUAAACAGGAAAUCAAUGGCCAAGUUUUUCCCCACAUUCGGCUAGAGAAAUUACACUGUAGGCAGGCAGAGGCAGAUGCCAGGAGCUUGUAAUAAAAUUGCUGAGGCAAGCAAAAAUUAUAGCCAGACCCCGGAGUGUAUGUUCUGACCUGGAAUUGAGGAGUUUGGAGUUUAGGAAGACAGUUGGGCGUUGAAAGUUGAUACGCGAUCGAACUUGAUCGCAAUGCGUGAGAAAAAGCCUUACAAUUAGCUCAAAAUGCUGCUUGUUCGGUCCCAUGUAGCCGUGAGAGUAUAUCUAAGCUAAACUGCGACCAAAUGUGUGUGUGUAUGUCGCGGCCUACACAGGGGUACUAAACAUCGUUUUUAUCAGAUUGUGAUUGCGUGGAUUGAAUAUAUAUAGGAACCCGUAUCGACUUCUCUGCUCUGCUAAGACUUGUUCGAAAGAAAGGCGCCCAAAUACAUACGUUAUAUAAACGGUCGUCUAUUAUUCACCUACCAUCGACCGUUAUCUCAAUACUGAUCGAAUAGAUACAACACUCUACUGACAUCGAUAGAUAUACAUAUAUAUCUAGUAUCUGGAGUAGCAACCGAUUGCGCGUUCAUUUCGCGCAAAGCAUAAACUGUAGAAUAUAUUUUAUUUACUUUAUAUAUUUUUUUUUCCUUUGUUAACGUAAACAUUUACGAGUACACGACAAGCGUGGCCUAACUCAUAAAAUACCUGAAACUGUAAAAAAUACAAAACAAUUUAUUUCUUCUGUUUUUGUACAAAUCCAAGAUUUAAGAAAACUUGUCUAUUGUUCUUGUAAUUACACUUGUCCAACUCACUUAUAGAAAAUGAGAAGAAAAAAAAGAAAAAAAAAAAUAUGAAAAAGAGCUCACCAAACAGAAAAGAAGCUACAAACAAAAAAGAAUAAAUGAAAUCUGAGAUCAAUAAAUUUCGAAACAAUUGUU
rnacentral:sRNA from 1 species